rnacentral:rRNA from 1 species
CAGCAGCCGCGGUAAAACGAAGGGGGCUAGCGUUGUUCGGAUUUACUGGGCGUAAAGCGCACGUAGGCGGAUCGAUCAGUCAGGGGUGAAAUCCCAGAGCUCAACUCUGGAGCUGCCUUUGAUACUGUCGAUCUGGAGUAUGGAAGAGGUGAGUGGAAUUCCGAGUGUAGAGGUGAAAUUCGUAGAUAUUCGGAGGAACACCAGUGGCGAAGGCGGCUCACUGGUCCAUUACUGACGCUGAGGUGCGAAAGCGUGGGGAGCAAACAGGAUUAGAUACCCCGGUAGUCCCUGUCUCUUAUAA